GUUUAUGACCAUUCGACCUUGAACAUGCCUGAUUUUGUCUGAUCUUAGACACUAAACAGGGUACGUUCUGGUUAAUACUUGUCUAGGAUAAAUAUAUCACAUGGUCACCUAGAGUCACAAGAG
rnacentral:rRNA from 1 species